GAUGAACGCUGGCGGCGUGCCUAAUACAUGCAAGUCGAGCGAACAGAUGAGGAGCUUGCUCCUCUGACGUUAGCGGCGGACGGGUGAGUAACACGUGGAUAACCUACCUAUAAGACUGGGAUAACUUCGGGAAACCGGAGCUAAUACCGGAUAAUAUAUUGAACCGCAUGGUUCAAUAGUGAAAGACGGUUUUGCUGUCACUUAUAGAUGGAUCCGCGCCGCAUUAGCUAGUUGGUAAGGUAACGGCUUACCAAGGCAACGAUGCGUAGCCGACCUGAGAGGGGAUUCGGCACACUUGAACCUGGACACGGUCCAGAAUCCCACGGGAAGCAAGCAGAGGGAAAUUUUCGCAAUGGGCGAAAGCCUGACGGAGCAACGCCGCGUGAGUGAUGAAGGUCUUCGGAUCGUAAAACUCUGUUAUUAGGGAAGAACAAAUGUGUAAGUAACUAUGCACGUCUUGACGGUACCUAAUCAGAAAGCCACGGCUAACUACGUG
rnacentral:rRNA from 1 species